UUGGGAGAGUUUCUGCAUUGCACUUUCCCAUGCAGGUUCCUAUCUUCCACAUAAGAAUGAGCCAAACACUUCGAGGGCUAACGGAAGGCCUUUCGCGUAAUGCACUGCUCUAUCUAUGAGAUCCCUUCUUAUCUCAACUUUCUUGCUAUU